rnacentral:misc_RNA from 1 species
UUUUUUUUUUUUGGUGGGGGGGUGGGUGUGGUGGGGGCGCAUGGAACUGUGGAUGAUUUGAGGGGGAUAUUGAUCAACCCUUGACAAGAAAUUAGCAGAAGCAUAUAUAGAGCCCGUCAAUAUCUGCGGUGCUUGAAAAACUUGUAUUUCAUGGUGACAAAGGAACACCUAAUAGCAGGUUCCCCGGCCAAUGAUUUCUAAAACAAACAUUAGAUAUUCAACAGUUGUGCCCCAGUUCUGAACAGCUAAGAUAAGACCAAAAUACCUUAUUCUUUCCAUAAAUAACUGAAUCUGAGACAUAUACAAGCUCUUUGCUCUCGUCAUUAAACAGAGACCCAAA